rnacentral:lncRNA from 1 species
UAAAAGCAAAAUUGUUUCUUGCAAACACAGAACGUCGCAAUUUUUAGCGCGGGUCACACUGAUAAUUUCGGCUUGUUUUAUAGGACUCCGGAAACCCUGUGCGUUUAAUGAAAAAAUAUUCAGGGUGUCAGCCACAUUUAGGCAUAAAAGUGUCACCGAACUGACCUGGUCGUGUUGUUCAAGUUGGCGCCCCGGGAACAAGUCCAGGGGGCAUGCAAUCCACGAGUCACUUCU